GCCUUUUUUUCUGACAGACGGCCGGAAUGCCGCCAAAAGGCUGAUAACAUCGACUGCUGAAUGUCUAGUCUGUAUGUAGUCUGCAACGUCGGAGGUGUAUUUUGGAUCCUCCUCUUGUGAAUGCCAUAGUAUCGAUGAUAACAUCAACUGUGUGUGGUCAUGUCGUCUGCAUCGGAGGUGUACUGGAGUCUUGUGAUUGCCUCGUAGCGGUGCUAACAGCAGGUUCAUUCAGACGGUCAACAUUUGUGGCACCAAAUGCAUUGAAAGUCACAGAUCAGCUGAAAUUUUGGAAAGAGGGUGCAGCCUGAAUCCCAUCCUGUGUUGUGUAUUCUGACUUUUUUUUUUUUUCAAACAAAAAACAAACCACAUUUUUCCUUUUUAUAAACAGCUUCUUUCUGAAGAACAACGUUUGUGAUUUUAAAUGUAUAGGUAGACAUGAGUAAAAAAAAAGUAAAAUGAAUGUAGCAGCUGUUUAUGCAUUGGCUUUAUGCAUUGUUUGCAAACGCAGCAUGUUGCUGGAAGACAGAUGUGUUAACGGAGCAGCACAUAAAAGUGAAAUGACUGAAGUGCAACUGCUAUUGAUAUU